rnacentral:rRNA from 1 species
CUGCUGCCUCCCGUAGGAGUUUGGGCCGUGUCUCAGUCCCAAUGUGGCCGUUCACCCUCUCAGGCCGGCUACUGAUCGUCGCCUUGGUGGGCUGUUACCCCGCCAACAAGCUAAUCAGACGCGGAUCCAUCGUAUACCACCGGAGUUUUUCACACCGUCUCAUGCGAGACUGUGCGCUUAUGCGGUAUUAGCACCUAUUUCUAAGUGUUAUCCCCCAGUAUACGGCAGGUUAUCCGCGCGUUACUCACCCGUCCG